ACCCGGCUGGCUUAGUUGGUAGAACAUGUGACUCUUGAUCUUGGGGUCAUGGGUUCGAGCCCCAUGUUGGGAG
rnacentral:tRNA from 1 species